CUUUUGUAUAAUGGGUCAGCGACUUAUAUUCUGUAGCAAGGUUAACCGUAUAGGGGAGCCGAAGGGAAACCGAGUCUUAACUGGGCGUUAAGUUGCAGGGUAUAGACCCGAAACCCGGUGAUCUAGCCAUGGGCAGGUUGAAGGUUGGGUAACACUAACUGGAGGACCGAACCGACUAAUGUUGAAAAAUUAGCGGAUGACUUGUGGCUGGGGGUGAAAGGCCAAUCAAACCGGGAGAUAGCUGGUUCUCCCCGAAAGCUAUUUAGGUAGCGCCUCGUGAACUCAUCUUCGGGGGUAGAGCACUGUUUCGGCUAGGGGGUCAUCCCGACUUACCAACCCGAUGCAAACUGCGAAUACCGAAGAAUGUUAUCACGGGAGACACACGGCGGGUGCUAACGUCCGUCGUGAAGAGGGAAACAACCCAGACCGCCAGCUAAGGUCCCAAAGUCACAGUUAAGUGGGAAACGAUGUGGGAAGGCUCAGACAGCCAGGAUGUUGGCUUAGAAGCAGCCAUCAUUUAAAGAAAGCGUAAUAGCUCACUGGUCGAGUCGGCCUGCGCGGAAGAUGUAACGGGGCUAAACUGUGCACCGAAGCUGCGGCAGCGACGCUUAUGCGUUGUUGGGUAGGGGAGCGUUCUGUAAGCCUGCGAAGGUGUCCUGUGAGGGAUGCUGGAGGUAUCAGAAGUGCGAAUGCUGACAUAAGUAACGAUAA
rnacentral:rRNA from 2 species